GUGAAUUUUGUGACGUCGUGUCGGAGUUUAUUGAGCAAAUACGAUGGGCGUUAAAUUCCUAUGGGAACGUGAACGAAAACAUUUAUUUUAUGUUUUUCGAUAAUCUACAGAAUUUUAAAUUCAAUCAAAACUGUUGUAAACGAACCACAAAGUUUCCACGUGCCAACAACAUUCCAGCAGCAGCAGAGAGAUAGUGAAAACGACCGGAGGCCACAACAUCUUAUCAAAAACUCAUAUCCUUUCAUCGAGCUCGGCAUUCCAGCACAGCUCGUUUCGUAGGAAUGAAGUUUUCACUUUGUCGAAAGGAUGCUUCCGGUUGGUGUUUUACAAACAGGAGAUUGAGGUGGAGAAUAUUGCUAUCGCCAGUGCUGCUCCGGGAUGGCAACGAUGUGCCUGCGAAGUACGGCACUUGUCAGUGUCAGCAGGUCACAGGCUGUUAAAAGGGAUCGUAAAGUUUGCGAUAAAAACAUCUUUAUUACUGUCUAUUCCACUCGAGCGAGGGAGAUUCAUCGCAAAA